rnacentral:rRNA from 1 species
GACGAACGCUGGCGGCGUGCCUAAUACAUGCAAGUAGAACGCUGAAGAGAGGAGCUUGCUCUUCUUGGAUGAGUUGCGAACGGGUGAGUAACGCGUAGGUAACCUGCCUGGUAGCGGGGGAUAACUAUUGGAAACGAUAGCUAAUACCGCAUGAAAUUGCUUAUCGCAUGAUAAUUAAUUGAAAGAUGCAAUUGCAUCACUACCAGAUGGACCUGCGUUGUAUUAGCUAGUUGGUGAGGUAACGGCUCACCAAGGCGACGAUACAUAGCCGACCUGAGAGGGUGAUCGGCCACACUGGGACUGAGACACGGCCCAGACUCCUACGGGAGGCAGCAGUAGGGAAUCUUCGGCAAUGGGGGGAACCCUGACCGAGCAACGCCGCGUGAGUGAAGAAGGUUUUCGGAUCGUAAAGCUCUGUUGUAAGAGAAGAACGGGUGUGAGAGUGGAAAGUUCACACUGUGAA